rnacentral:lncRNA from 1 species
AGAAAAAAUUUUCUCCAAAUCGAAGAAAAACUAAACUUGAUUUAGAAACAGAGUCAUAAAAAGCAAGGAGGACAUAUACAAGAAGGGAUUGCCCCCUUUUCAAAUAAGAUAAAGGAGAUGAGAAGUAGAUCGAAAAAAAAAAUAAAAAAAUAAAAAAAUAAAAAAAAAUAAAACAAACACGGAUGGAUAAAAAACAAUAAACUGCUACUGGAAUUUCACCUAUCUUCUUUGUCUUCUCUAUUUUAUUAAUCAACUGUGACUUAUACACAAAUGCCCUUAUAUGAGUCCUCCAUUUCGAUUUGACGUUGCAUGAAUCCUUGACCAUGUGGAUUUAGC